GAAGUAUCCUUUCCCAUUUUGCUGACCAUGUACCUGGUGCAGGACUUAUGAAGCAAAGGAGGAAAUCUGGAAAUAGCUUUAAGAGCCACAGUCACAGUUAUGGCCCUAACCCAAGGGUGAUUUGGACACAUUCAGAGGAACCAAUGCCAUAUAACUAGGGAGGUGGAGACUGGAGUGAUUCAUCUAAGUAAAGGAGCACCAAAGAUUACUGGAUAUCACCAGAAGCUAGGAGAGAGACAUGAAACAUAUUCUCAGAGUCUCCAAAAGAACCAACCCUGCUAACACCUUGAUUUUGGACUUCAAGCCUCCAGACUAUAAGAAUUGGCUUGUGCAAUUGUGGAGUAGGGUGAGUCCAAAAUCUCCAGGAUGGACUGACAAGCUACAGACCCAGAGAUCUUCUACUGUGGUUUGAAUCUGAAAGCCUAUCAGACUGAAGACCCAAAGAAGAGCUGAUGCUGCAGCUGAAAUCUAAAGGCUGUCUCCUGGCAGAAUUAUCUUUUGCUCAAAAGAGGUCAGUCUUCGGUUUUAUUGAGGCUGUCAACUGAUUGGAUGAGGCCCACCUACA
ensembl:lncRNA